rnacentral:rRNA from 1 species
GUGUCAGCAGCCGCGCGGUAAUACGGGAGUGGCAAGCGUUAUCCGGAAUUAUUGGGCGUAAAGCGUCCGCAGGCGGCCCUUCAAGUCUGCUGUUAAAAAGUGGAGCUUAACUCCAUCAUGGCAGUGGAAACUGUUGGGCUUGAGUGUGGUAGGGACAGAGGGAAUUCCCGGUGUAGCGGUGAAAUGCGUAGAUAUCGGGAAGAACACCAGUGGCGAAGGCGCUCUGCUGGGCCAUCACUGACGCUCAUGGACGAAAGCCAGGGGAGCGAAAGGGAUUAGAUACCCCUGUAGUCCUGGCCGUAAACGAUGAACACUAGGUGUCGGGGGAAUCGACCCCCUCGGUGUCGUAGCCAACGCGUUAAGUGUUCCGCCUGGGGAGUACGCACGCAAGUGUGAAACUCAAAGGAAUUGACGGGGGCCCGCACAAGCGGUGGAGUAUGUGGUUUAAUUCGAUGCAACGCGAAGAACCUUACCAGGGUUUGACAUCCUGCGAAUCUCUUGGAAACAGGAGAGUGCCUUCGGGAACGCAGUGACAGGUGGUGCAUGGCUGUCGUCAGCUCGUGUCGUGAGAUGUUGGGUUAAGUCCCGCAACGAGCGCAACCCACGUCUUUAGUUGCCAGCAUUUAGUUGGGCACUCUAGAGAGACUGCCGGUGAUAAACCGGAGGAAGGUGUGGAUGACGUCAAGUCAUCAUGCCCCUUACAUCCUGGGCUACACACGUACUACAAUGCUACGGACAAAGGGCAGCAAGUUCGCGAGGACAAGCAAAUCCCAUAAACCGUGGCUCAGUUCAGAUCGUAGGCUGCAACUCGCCUACGUGAAGGCGGAAUCGCUAGUAAUCGCAGGUCAGCAUACUGCGGUGAAUACGUUCCCGGGCCUUGCACACACCGCCCGUCAAAUCCAUAUG